rnacentral:rRNA from 1 species
CAGUAGCCGCGGGAACACGAAGGGUGCAAGCGUUAAUCGGAAUUACUGGGCGUAAAGCGUGCGUAGGCGGUGAGUUAAGUCUGCUGUGAAAUCCCCGGGCUCAACCUGGGAAUGGCAGUGGAUACUGGCUCGCUAGAGUGUGUCAGAGGAUGGUGGAAUUCCCGGUGUAGCGGUGAAAUGCGUAGAGAUCGGGAGGAACAUCAGUGGCGAAGGCGGCCAUCUGGGACAACACUGACGCUGAGGCACGAAAGCGUGGGGAGCAAACAGGAUUAGAUACCCCCGUAGUCCCUGUCUCUUAUAA